UACAGAGGUCCCAAGCGUUGUUCGGAUUCAUUGGGCGUAAAGGGCGCGUAGGCUGCGGGGUAAGUCAGGUGUGAAAUCUCAGAGCUCAACUCUGAAAUUGCACUUGAUACUGCUCUGCUAGAGGACUGGAGAGGAGAUUGGAAUUCACGGUGUAGCAGUGAAAUGCGUAGAUAUCGUGAGGAAGACCGGUGGCGAAGGCGGACCUCUGGACAGUUCCUGACGCUGAGGCGCGAAGGCCAGGGGAGCAAACGGG
rnacentral:rRNA from 1 species